rnacentral:lncRNA from 1 species
AUGAAUAAAGUGGUUAUGGGUAUUGGGUUCCUACUAUACCCGACUCUUGGUUUCAUCGUGAAACUCUGUUGAUCUAGGGUUAGUUGGUCUUGGUGAGUUGCUAAGAUCAUCAGUAGUUUGUGAAGAUCACAUAAAGUAUUACAGAUCAUCUUGUUGAUGAUUUGUUGGUGAGCUUUCAUUCUUGUGAUAGUAGUGAAUCUUUGUAUUGUUAAAGUUUUGUUACAGUAAAGUUUAAGUUGUGCUUGAUACCACUGACAUGGUAUCAGAGCUCUAGGAGUUCUUUGGGUUGCUUCUGUUGAUCAGAUGUGGUUUGAUUGUUUGAUCUCAUACUUAGGCUUUUAGUAGAUUUGGGGUUCUUCCGUUCUUGGUGUUGGAUCUUUGUAGAUCGGUCAAGUCUCUAUUGUGUUGGAUCACAUAGAAUAUUGUGGCACCCCGCGAGAACACUUAGCUAUUCGGUAACCGCAUGCUAAAUUUCCGGACGAAAUUUCUUUCAACUUGGGGAUAAUGUGACAGCUCAUGUGUUUCACUUCGAAUUGACUUCCUUUACGUUUCAGCAUACGUGUAUUUGUAAUCAGUUUAUGAACUUGAUAUUAAUGCGAAGUGUUUAAAUGUUUGGUUUACAUUUU